rnacentral:rRNA from 1 species
AUACGUAGGGGGCGAGCGUUGUCCGGAAUUAUUGGGCGUAAAGGGCGCGUAGGCGGCGCGGUAAGUCUGGAGUGAAAGUCCUGCUUUCAAGGUGGGAAUUGCUUUGGAUACUGCCGCGCUUGAGUGCAGGAGAGGUUAUCGGAAUUCCCGGUGUAGCGGUGAAAUGCGCAGAGAUCGGGAGGAACACCAGUGGCGAAGGCGGGUAACUGGACUGCAACUGACGCUGAGGCGCGAAAGUGUGGGGAGCAAACAGGAUUAGAUACCCUGGUAGUCCACACUGUAAACGAUGAAUGCUAGGUGUAGGAGGUAUCGACCCCUUCUGUGCCGCAGUAAACACAGUAAGCAUUCCGCCUGGGGAGUACGGUCGCAAGAUUAAAACUCAAAGGAAUUGACGGGG